CCAGAAGCUGCGUCAGCUGCCCAGCCAGAAGCUGCGUCAGCUGCCCAGCCAGAAGCUGCGUCAGCUGCCCAGCCAGAAGCUGCGUCAGCUGCCCAGCCAGAAGCUGCGUUUUCAUCACAGCCACCAGUCCAGCCAGCUGUUCAGUCGCCCUCAGCAGCCCAGUCUCCUGUGUUGCCACUAGUCCAGCCAUUAGCGCGGCCUGCACCUCAGCCAUUAGCGUGGCUGGCAGUUCAGUUAACUACACAGGUUGCAGCUCAACAGUCUAUUCAGCCACUAUGUCCACCCACUCAUUCUAAGGAGGAGGAUAGCCCUGCUAAGACUUUUGUUGUUCCUCUAGACCUGGCCUAUUUAGAGACUGUUACUCUCUCCAGGGUGUCCCCAGAGGCUGAAGCCCUCAGUUAACUCUGGACACGAAGAAGCCAGCGCAACCUGUUUCUCCUGGGAACUCAUUCGGGUUGUCUCAGUGACUGGUCCCUGCUGAGAGGUCAGGGGAGUUAACUCUGCCACCGUUCUAUGCUGGAAGCUCUAGUGAGCUCAUUCGGCCAGCUAAGGACUGCAUCCUGCUGUUACUGCCUGAGCAGAGCCUCUGUCCUGCGCAGCUCCAAUCAGCUUCAUCUCUGUUCCCCGUGGUCGGCCUCCAGACCUCUCUCGUCUCUGUCACUGGCCUCCGCGUCGGCCUCCUGAAUGGUCUCAUGACAGCUUUCAAAUGAACCUUAAAGAUUUUCCCAGGAAUACCUCAAAUAACAACCGUACCUCAGACUUCAUUUUAAGAAAAUUUAAAUGAUACAGUGGAAAGUUUCUGCCUCUGUGAUUAUCUGCCUAAGACUGUAAAUGUUGGGUUUGAUUUUAAUUGUUAACAAGUCUGAUGUUGACUACUUGGUAGUGAUGCUAAAAAAAACCCCAAUCAUUUUAUUUUCAGCUUUUCUACCAUCACCUGAAGAACACCUGAAGUCAGAUCAAUUAAAGUGUAGGAUGCUGCUGAUGGCCACGUGAAGACUUGUUUUCAGAACUGAAGGAGGAAGUUUAGGAAAACCAGCACAUGAUGUAGAGAAAUUUCAGCACUGUGGCUCGACAGGAGCAGGUCCUGCCUUACCUGAACACCUUUGUCAGUGAUGGAGCUUCCUGUUUGUA
ensembl:lncRNA